rnacentral:rRNA from 1 species
AUUGAACGCUGGCGGCAGGCCUAACACAUGCAAGUCGAGCGGAUGAAGGGAGCUUGCUCCUGGAUUCAGCGGCGGACGGGUGAGUAAUGCCUAGGAAUCUGCCUGGUAGUGGGGGAUAACGUCCGGAAACGGGCGCUAAUACCGCAUACGUCCUGAGGGAGAAAGUGGGGGAUCUUCGGACCUCACGCUAUCAGAUGAGCCUAGGUCGGAUUAGCUAGUUGGUGGGGUAAAGGCCUACCAAGGCGACGAUCCGUAACUGGUCUGAGAGGAUGAUCAGUCACACUGGAACUGAGACACGGUCCAGACUCCUACGGGAGGCAGCAGUGGGGAAUAUUGGACAAUGGGCGAAAGCCUGAUCCAGCCAUGCCGCGUGUGUGAAGAAGGUCUUCGGAUUGUAAAGCACUUUAAGUUGGGAGGAAGGGCAGUAAGUUAAUACCUUGCUGUUUUGACGUGACCAACAGAAUAAACACCGGCUAACUUCGU